GAUGAACGCUGGCGGCGUGCCUAAUACAUGCAAGUCGAGCGAACAGACGAGGAGCUUGCUCCUCUGACGUUAGCGGCGGACGGGUGAGUAACACGUGGAUAACCUACCUAUAAGACUGGGAUAACUUCGGGAAACCGGAGCUAAUACCGGAUAACCUGUUGAACCGCAUGGUUCAACAGUGAAAGACGGUCUUGCUGUCACUUAUAGAUGGAUCCGCGCCGCAUUAGCUAGUUGGUAAGGUAACGGCUUACCAAGGCAACGAUGCGUAGCCGACCUGCGAGGGUGAUCGGCCACACUGGAACUGAAACACGGUCCAGACUCCUACGGGAGGCAGCAGUAGGGAAUCUUCCGCAAUGGGCGAAAGCCUGACAGAGCAACACCGCGUGAGUGAAGAAGGUCUUCGGAUCGUAAAACUCUGUUAUUAGGGAAGAACAAAUGUGUAAGUAACUAUGCACGUCUUGACGGUACCUGAUCAGAAAGCCACGGCUAACUACGUG
rnacentral:rRNA from 1 species